AGCUUUAUAUUCAAUUUAAUGAUUAUAGAAUGCAAUUCUAUAGGAGUGAUUAUUAUAAAUUAAGUCACUAAGGCUU
rnacentral:tRNA from 1 species